rnacentral:rRNA from 1 species
ACCCGUUGAUCCUGCGGGAGGUUGCUGCUAUCGGGAUUCGACUAAGCCAUGCAAGUCAGGGGGUUCUUCGGAACACCGGCAUAAUGCUCAGUAACACGUCGAUAAUCUAACCUUAGGUCAGGGAUACCCUCGGGAAACUGAGGCUAACACCUGAUAUGGGAAUACUACUGGAAGGUGUUUUCCUUUAAAAGCAAUGCCUAAGGAUGAGUCGGCGGCCGAUUAGGUAGUUGGUGGUGUAAAGGACCACCAAGCUUAUGAUCGGUAGGGGCCUUGACAGAGGUAGCCCCGAGAAGGGUACUGAGAUACUGACCCUAGCCCUACGGGGUGCAGCAGGCGCGAAAACUUUACAAUACACGAAAGUGUGAUAAGGGAAUCCCGAGUGCCUUGCUUUUGUAAGGCUUUUUUCAAGAGUAAAUAUCUUGGAGAAUAAGUGGAGGGCAAGACUGGUGCCAGCCGCCGCGGUAACACCAGCUCCACAAGUUGCAACCGCGUUUAUUGGGCCUAAAGCGUCCGUAGCUUGUUUAAAAAAUCUUCUGUGAAAUUGUUUAGCUUAACUAAACAGAGUGCAGUAGACACUUUUAGACUAGAGACCGGGAGGAGUUAGAAGAAUUUCCAGGGGAGCGGUAAAAUGCUAUAAUCCUGGAAAGACUACCUGUGGCGAAAGCGUCUAACUAGAACGGCUCUGACAGUGAGGGACGAAAGCUAGGGGAGCGAUCCGGAUUAGAUACCCGAGUAGUCCUAGCCGUAAACGCUGCGAGUUAGGUGUUGCAUAUUCUUCGCGAAUAUGCAGUGUCGAAGCGAAGGCAUUAAACUCGCCGCCUGGGAAGUACGGUCGCAAGGCUGAAACUUAAAGGAAUUGGCGGGGGAGCACUACAAGGGGUGCGGCGUGCGGUUUAAUCUAAUUCAACGCAGAGAAUCUCACCAGAAGCGACGGCAGGAUGAAGGUCAGGCUGAAGGUCUUACCCAACGAGCCGAGAGGUAGUGCAUGGCCGUCGUCAGCUCGUGCCGUGAGGUGUCCUGUUAAGUCAGGCAACGAGCGAGACCUGUACAUUCAAUUGCUAACGACUCAUUCUGAGGAUUGAGCACAUUGUAUGGACUGCCUUCGAAAGAAGGAGGAAGGUGCAGGCAACGAUAGGUCUGUAUGCUCCGAAUCUUCUGGGCUACACGCGCGCAACAAUGGCAGAGACAAUGGGUCGCAACUCCGUAAGGAGAAGCUAAUCCUCCAAACUCUGUCUUAGUCUAGAUUGAGGAUUGUAACUCAUCCUCAUGACACUGGAAUCCCUAGUAAUCAGAUUUUAUCAUAGUCUGGUGAAUAUGUCCCUGCUCCUUGCACACACCGCCCGUCAAACCACCCGAGUAGGGUUUAGAUGAGGUCUUAUUUAUAAUAAGUUCAAAUCUAAGCUCAGCGAGGAGGGUUAAGUCGUCACAAGGUA